rnacentral:rRNA from 1 species
GGGCAAGUCUGGUGCCAGCAGCCGCGGUAAUUCCAGCUCCAAUAGCGUAUAUUAAAGUUGUUGCAGUUAAAAAGCUCGUAGUUGAAUUUCGGGAUCAAAUUGUCGGUCGUGCCUCGGUACGUACUGGCGUUAUUGGUUCCUCCCUUCUGAAGAACCACGAUGUCAUUAAUUUGGUGUCGCGGGGAAUCAGGGCUGUUACUUUGAAAAAAUUAGAGUGCUUAAAGCAAGCUAACGCUUGAAUACAUUAGCAUGGAAUAAUGAAAUAGGACGUUCGAUCCUAUUUUGUUGGUUUCUAGGAUUGACGUAAUGAUUAAUAGGGAUAGUUGGGGGCAUUAGUAUUCAAUUGUCAGAGGUGAAAUUCUUGGAUUUAUUGAAGACUAACUACUGCGAAAGCAUUUGCCAAGGAUGUUUUCAUUAAUCAAGAACGAAAGUUAGGGGAUCGAAGACGAUCAGAUACCGUCGUAGUCUUAACCAUAAACUAUGCCGACUAGGGAUCGGAUGAUGUUAAUUUUUUAAUGACUCAUUCGGCGCCUUACGGGAAACA